AUGCCAGUCCCUGUCCCCGUGGCUAUUCCUGCCCCUAGAAGGAUAGGUAGUAACACUACUCAUUUAGUCUGGGCCUUAGGGCUGAAGGUUUAUAAAUGGGACCCAGAUCGGAGGCAACCAAUACCAACAAAACAUCCUACCCAUAAGAGGAAGGCCCCAUGUGUCUUCUCAUUCUGGAAACCAGGCAGAAAAGACAGCCCUUUAUGAGAUAUGCCAUUCUUGGGGCAGAAGGAAAGAGCUAGACCCUGUUAACUUAAAUAACCUCCAUGGAUGUGGCAUACGCAAGUGCUCAAGCCAGACACAGUGAGUUGGGAACAUAUGCUCCUUGCACAGGGAGGCAUUACAAAUCAUAUGGCAAUGGGUAGAAGUAUAUAAUCCUCUAACAGGAAAGAAUACAAAUCUAAUUUACAAAGUUCCUCAUUUAGUUUUUUCCCUAUGUGAUGCCCAGUUGUCCUGCUAUGAUGUACUGAAAAGUCUAUUCUUUCCUCAGGGAUUGCUUUGCCAGCUUUGUUCAAAGAUCAAGCUUCCCGCAUAGCUGUGCUCUUAUUUUUUUCAAUUUCUUUCUUCUUGUUCCCAAACCAGAUCAUCUUAUUACUAUAGUCUUUAGCAAGUCUUCAUAACUGAUUAACCAAAUCUACUCACUUUGUUCAGGUGUAUUUUGGCUCUUCUUGGAUCUUUGCCCUUCCAUAGACCUUUGUUGAUUUCUGUGAACACCUGUUGGGAUCUUGAAUGGGUUUACAUUUACAUCUAUUGAUCAAUUUAGAAAGAAUUGGCAUCUUUACAAUAUUGAAUCUACUAAUUCAUUAACAUGGCUAUUUCGAUCUUCUUUAAUUUUUUUCAGUGACAUUUUAUAGUUUCCUGAGUAGAG
rnacentral:lncRNA from 1 species